rnacentral:rRNA from 1 species
AUUGAACGCUGGCGGCAUGCCUUACACAUGCAAGUCGAACGGCAGCACGGGUGCUUGCACCUGGUGGCGAGUGGCGAACGGGUGAGUAAUACAUCGGAACAUGUCCUGUAGUGGGGGAUAGCCCGGCGAAAGCCGGAUUAAUACCGCAUACGAUCUACGGAUGAAAGCGUGGGACCUUCGGGCCUCGCGCUGUAGGGUUGGCCGAUGGCUGAUUAGCUAGUUGGUGGGGUAAAGGCCUACCAAGGCGACGAUCAGUAGCUGGUCUGAGAGGACGACCAGCCACACUGGGACUGAGACACGGCCCAGACUCCUACGGGAGGCAGCAGUGGGGAAUUUUGGACAAUGGGCGAAAGCCUGAUCCAGCAAUGCCGCGUGUGUGAAGAAGGCCUUCGGGUUGUAAAGCACUUUUGUCCGGAAAGAAAUCCUUGGCCCUAAUACGGUCGGGGGAUGACGGUACCGGAAGAAUAAGCACCGGCUAACUACGUG